GAUGAACGCUGGCGGCGUGCUUAACACAUGCCAGUCGAACGGAAAGGCUCCUGCUUGCAGGGGUACUCGAGUGGCGAACGGGUGAGUAACACGUGGGUGAUCUGCCCUGCACUUCGGGAUAAGCCUGGGAAACUGGGUCUAAUACCGGAUAGGACCACAUUUUGGAUGGUGUGGUGGAAAGUUUUUCGGUGUGGGAUGAGCUCGCGGCCUAUCAGCUUGUUGGUGGGGUAAUGGCCUACCAAGGCGUCGACGGGUAGCCGGCCUGAGAGGGUGCACGGCCACAUUGGGACUGAGAUACGGCCCAGACUCCUACGGGAGGCAGCAGUGGGGAAUAUUGCACAAUGGGCGCAAGCCUGAUGCAGCGACGCCGCGUGGGGGAUGACGGCCUUCGGGUUGUAAACUCCUUUCGCUAGGGACGAAGCGUUUUUGUGACGGUACCUGGAGAAGAAGCACCGGCUAACUACGUG
rnacentral:rRNA from 1 species